AUGGGGAAUGCAAGGUAGUGAAAACGAGAACAAGAGUGAAUCCAUUUUUAAUUUCUAACAUGUCAAUUGGUUUGUUUAUUAAACACAUGGUCAGAGAAGAAUGUUGAUAUCCAUUUGUCCGUCAAAUAUAGUACAUAACUACAUAUGUGAAACCAAAAUAAUGUUAGGAAAAAAAAUCCUUAUGGUUGAGUGCUGAGCAUUUGGUUGUGUGAAAAGAACAAUGCUAUUACUUGAAAUUCAUUUUAUAUGCAAGUUGGAGACUGCAUUUAAGGAUUUAUCCUGUAAUCUAGGCCUUGUGCACAAGAAUAAAUGACACAUUCAGUCGCCAUUGCCCAUUAAUUCAUCAAAUGGUCUUCAAUCCCAGAAACAAUAGUAUGUAUGCGAUUGCAAACAUUACAACUCAUUACUUUCCAAAAUGCUAAGAACCCUAAUCUUCCCUAACAUAGUACUGAUUCCUACCACAAGACAAGAUCAAGCAUUGGCAUUAUUUAAUUAAGUAAGAAAGUAACUCUCACUAUAAUCUUAAAAUCCAGACAAUGCCCAAACAAUUUCGACACAUAGAUAAAGCCCAUGAAAGCCAAAAUCUCAAAUGAAUUCACAUUGUACUGUAACAUUUCCAUCUAUCAAGUAAUGUUGGUUACCCGUAUACUUCCCAUUACUAUUACCCCAAUAAACAUUUAAGAGAGAGCAGAGAGGGACUUUUAAGAUUAAAAUGACAUAAGCACAGUCUUACUCCAACACAAAGGUAACUAAGUCAUACUACUGUUAUCAAGAUUUUAAAAGUUUCAAAUUUUGUAUGCCUGCCCACAACACAUACCAUUUCCUUAGCUUUCUCAAUAACCAAACACUAUCAUAAACUAACCCUAAGUGAGAUUCCAAUCUGAGGAGCAGCGAGUCCAACACCAGGAGCCAUCCUCAUAGCCUUAACCAUAUCAUCAAUUAUCGUCUGUAUCCUUUCUGACCCAAUUUCCUCCGGGGCAACUUCUCGAGCCGGUUCAUGCAAAACCGGGUCACCCGCUUUAACAAUAUCCGGCAAGCUCGUUUUCUUCUUCUCUCCAAGACCCAGAAACCAACCCGCUUUGGCAUUUGAAGAGGAAGAGAAAGAUUUCCGGGCAGUGAAGUGGGGGUUCGAGGUUAUAAAUUCGGGUACGGAUAUGGGCAUUCGAUCAAAACGAGAUAUCGGAGACAGAGUGGUGAGCCUGAGGCAUGAUUUCAUUUCUAUUGGAUUUGCAUCGAGGCAUUUUACGGCGAGGGAAA
rnacentral:misc_RNA from 1 species